rnacentral:lncRNA from 1 species
GUAGAAGACGUGGAUCUACACAAUCACCAUCAUCAUUAAACAUAGAUUCCCAGCUUUCCUCCACAGCACUACUUCCUUGUAUGUGAGAAGUGUCUGUUGUUUUUAGAUCUACAGAUGUUUCCACAGAUGAAUCAGAAAAUGAUAUGCCACACACUACACUCUCUGAGUAAUCUUCCUCUUUUGUUUUAAACUCUUCAGCAGUUUUUAGGUCGUGCAAGGCCUCUGUCAUCUCCUCAGUGGUAUCCAGAUCACUGCCCAAGGCACUCUCCAAAAGUACGUCUGAUGCAUCUGACAUACUCAGUUCAGAGUCCAGACAAGUGGCAAUAUUACUAUCAGCAGUCUUCUUUAUGGGUAAAGAGGAAGCACCAUCUGACACACUUUCUAUCAACUUUCCUGUUGACUCUGUAAAACCAGAUGCAAUACUCUCAGCAUAAAUAUCUGAGCAAGCACUUAGGCUGCUAAUGUUUUCAGAGUCGUUCUCACUCUUAGCUCUAUCAAGUGGAGCUACAUCUGCACUCAUUUCUAUAUAAUCUGAGAAAUUUCUCAUGUUGCCACUACUCUCACCAGAUUCUCCAACUGCACCUGUACAAGAGCUGCCUUCAGUUACAGGGUCACAAGCUGUACCUGCAAUGUCCACCAUACAAGCCUUGCUGGUACUGUCACAUACAUUCCUAAAUCCAUCAUCUGUGUCUAUUUCAUGCACGAGGACCGCUGUAUCAGAAGGUUCAGACUUUACACAUAACUCAUCAGCAGAGCUGUCACUCUCACAUUCUCUAGUCACUGCUGGAUCAAUAGUGCCAUUUGUGCUCUCUAAUUUGCUGACUACCGCCAUUUUAAGAGAAACGUUAUCCACAGUCUCAAGAAUGGAAUCUACACCUUUUUGACCCAAGACAGACUCUGUACUGUUGACUGUACCCUCACUCUCAACUUCAAAGUCUACAAAAGUUGAAUCAACAUCUUCAUCUGGACCUCCAGGAACAGAAACCACAGAGAUGUCCCCAGGACUGUGCUUUGACAUCCCAUCUGGUGUUUCCAGACUGGAUGGUGCAGUUUCAGAAUCAGAACUUAGUGUUACUGGCAUAGCCAUACCAUCUGGUUUCAGCAGAGUGGUAACAACUUGAGGAAAUUGGGAGACUAGCUCUGGAACUUUGGCCUCAGUUACAAUGCUGCUUUCCAAAUUUCUAUUUACAAAAGUUUCCCCACUGAAAUCACAGAGUUCCACAUUCUGGAAUGGUCUGCUUGGAACCUGAGCAGCACUGACUUCUGAGGAAGACUGAGAUGGAGACACCCGCCAGUGUCCUGUCGCUCCCGCAGUCUGAACUUCCCAACAGUCCAUGUCCUUUGGUUUAAAAAGUCUUUGUAAAGUCAACAUCCUUCCUAUCAGAAUGGCCUGCACCUCGUCUCUGGGACUCGGGUUUACUUGCAGAGAUCUUCUGGGGAAGACAACCUUCUUUUUGAUCUUUUGGCACAAAGGCAGGAGGCCCAUGGCCUUCCUCCUGGUCACUUGACUUGAGGAGAGCUGUUCCCCUUCGAGCUUUAGGUACAUAGAGUGCCAUGUCAGGCCUUUUGGUUCGAACUCUACAUCUCUCUGCUUCUUGCUGCAUGGCACCACUUCAAUCUGAAAGAAAAUGAAAGGGUUAAUAAUAAAAGACAAAAAAAU